rnacentral:rRNA from 1 species
AGAGUUCGAUCAUGGCUCAGGACGAACGCUGGCGGCGUGCCUAACACAUGCAAGUCGAACGGGGUACCCCGGAUUGAGGCUUCGGCCGAUUGAAGGGACUACCUAGUGGCGAACGGGUGAGUAACGCGUGAGCAACCUGCCUUUCAGUGGGGGACAACAGAGGGAAACUUCUGCUAAUACCGCAUAACAUGUCCGGGAGGCAUCUUCUGGACAUCAAAGAUUUAUCGCUGAAAGAUGGGCUCGCGUCUGAUUAGCUAGUUGGUGGGGUAACGGCCCACCAAGGCGACGAUCAGUAGCCGGACUGAGAGGUUGAUCGGCCACAUUGGGACUGAGAUACGGCCCAG